UCCUACGGGAGGCAGCAGUGGGGAAUUUUCCGCAAUGGGCGAAAGCCUGACGGAGCAAGACCGCGUGGGGGAUGAAGGUCCUACGGAUUGUAAACUUCUUUUAUAAGGGAAUAAAACGCUCCACGUGUGGGGCCUUGUAUGUACCUUAUGAAUAAGCAUCGGCUAACUCCGUGCCAGCAGCCGCGGUAAUACGGAGGAUGCGAGCGUUAUCCGGAUUUAUUGGGUUUAAAGG
rnacentral:rRNA from 1 species